CAUAUCAAUAAGCGGAGGAAAAGAAACUAACAAGGAUUCCCCUAGUAACGGCGAGUGAACCGGGAAGAGCUCAAAUUUGAAAUCUGGCAGUCUUCGAUUGUCCGAGUUGUAAUCUAUAGAAGCGUUUUCCGUGCUGAACUGUGUAUAAGUCCCUUGGAACAGGGUAUCAAAGAGGGUGACAAUCCCGUACUUUACACAAUCAUCAGUGCUCUGUGAUACGUUCUCUACGAGUCGAGUUGUUUGGGAAUGCAGCUCAAAAUGGGUGGUAAAUUCCAUCUAAAGCUAAAUAUUGGCGAGAGACCGAUAGCGAACAAGUACCGUGAGGGAAAGAUGAAAAGCACUUUGGAAAGAGAGUUAAACAGUACGUGAAAUUGUUGAAAGGGAAACGAAAUUCAUGAAUCAUGUUUAUUGGACUCAGCCGUUCUUCGGUGUACUUCCUUUAAACGGGUCAACAUCAGUUUUGUCCGAUGGAUAAAGGUAGUAGGAAGGUGGCUCUCUCGGGAGUGUUAUAGCCUAUUGCUGCAUACAUUGGAUGAGACUGAGGACUGCAGCUUGCCUUUAUGGCCGGGGUUCGCCCACGUUCAAGCUUAGGAUGUUGACAUAUUCUCGAAUCACGAC
rnacentral:rRNA from 1 species